rnacentral:SRP_RNA from 1 species
GCCGGGCGCGGUGGCGGGCGCCUGUAGUCCCAGCUACUCGGGAGGCUGGGGAAGGAGAAUGGCGUGAACCCAGGAGGCGGAGCUUGCAGUGAGCCAGGAUCGUGCCACUGCACUCCAGUUUGGGCGACAGAGCAAGACUCCGUCUACAAAAAAAAAAAAAAAAGUUAACUGAAUUGUAAUUAAAUUUGUGGGGAUUUUUUAUUUUUAUUUUUUUUGAGACAGAGUCUCGCUCUGUCUCCCAGGCUGGAGUGCAGUGGUGCGAUCUCGGCUCACUGCAAGCUCCGCCUCCUGGAUUCACUCAUUCUCCUGCCUC